CUUGUAUGCGACACCGGCAUGGACAAGUGGAGAGAGAACAGGUGGAGAGGCUACUGCAAAAAGUUAAAAGGGCUGAAGUGAUCUUUCACAGAGAGGUCUCAAGUGGCAUACUGUACCUCAUUUCCCUGCUAAACUGAAGAGCCUGAGCUUCAGCCAAGUGGGAGAAGUAAUCAAACCAUCUGGACUGGUAACCACCCGAGGGAGCGUAAGAG